CAGCCGCCGCGGGAAUACAGAGGGUGCAAGCGUUAAUCGGAAUUACUGGGCGUAAAGCGUGCGUAGGCGGCUAAUUGAGUCGGAUGUGAAAUCCCCGAGCUUAACUUGGGAAUUGCAUUCGAUACUGGUUAGCUAGAGUGUGGGAGAGGAUGGUAGAAUUCCAGGUGUAGCGGUGAAAUGCGUAGAGAUCUGGAGGAAUACCGAUGGCGAAGGCAGCCAUCUGGCCUAACACUGACGCUGAGGUACGAAAGCAUGGGGAGCAAACAGGAUUAGAUACCCCUGUAGUCCCUGUCUCUUAUAA
rnacentral:rRNA from 1 species